UACGAAGGGGGCUAGCGUUGCUCGGAAUCACUGGGCGUAAAGCGCACGUAGGCGGAUUCUUAAGUCGGUGGUGAAAUCCUGGAGCUCAACUCCAGAACUGCCUUCGAUACUGGGAGUCUCGAGUCCGGGAGAGGUGAGUGGAACUGCGAGUGUAGAGGUGAAAUUCGUAGAUAUUCGCAAGAACACCAGUGGCGAAGGCGGCUCACUGGCCCGGUACUGACGCUGAGGUGCGAAAGCGUGGGGAGCAAACAGG
rnacentral:rRNA from 1 species